GAUGAACGCUGGCGGCGUGCCUAACACAUGCAAGUCGAGCGAUUCUCCUCGGAGAAGAGCGGCGGACGGGUGAGUAACGCGUGGGUAACCUGCCCUGUACACACGGAUAACAUACCGAAAGGUAUGCUAAUACGAGAUAAUAUGCUUUCAUCGCAUGGUAGAAGUAUCAAAGCUCCGGCGGUACAGGAUGGACCCGCGUCUGAUUAGCUAGUUGGUAAGGUAAAGGCUUACCAAGGCGACGAUCAGUAGCCGACCUGAGAGGGUGAUCGGCCACAUUGGAACGGAGACACGGUCCAAACUCCUUCGGGAGGCAGCAGUGGGGAAUAUUGCACAAUGGGCGAAAGACUGAUGCAGCAACGCCGCGUGAGCGAUGAAGGCCUUCGGGUCGUAAAGCUCUGUCCUUAAGGAAGAUAAUGACGGUACUUGAGGAGGAAGCCCCGGCUAACUACGUGCCAGCAGCCGCCGCUGUAA
rnacentral:rRNA from 1 species